rnacentral:rRNA from 1 species
GACGAACGCUGGCGGCGUGCUUAACACAUGCAAGUCGAACGGAAAGGCCCUGCUUUUGUGGGGUGCUCGAGUGGCGAACGGGUGAGUAACACGUGAGUAACCUGCCCUUGACUUUGGGAUAACUUCAGGAAACUGGGGCUAAUACCGGAUAGGAGCUCCUGCUGCAUGGUGGGGGUUGGAAAGUUUCGGCGGUUGGGGAUGGACUCGCGGCUUAUCAGCUUGUUGGUGGGGUAGUGGCUUACCAAGGCUUUGACGGGUAGCCGGCCUGAGAGGGUGACCGGCCACUGUGGGACUCAAAUACGGCCCAGGCUCCUACGGGAGGCAGCAGUGGGGAAUAUUGCACAAUGGGCGGAAGCCUGAUGCAGCAACGCCGCGUGCGGGAUGACGGCCUUCGGGUUGUAAACCGCUUUCGCCUGUGACGAAGCGUGAGUGACGGUAAUGGGUAUAGAAGCACCGGCUAACUACGUG